rnacentral:rRNA from 1 species
UAUGAGUUUGAUCAUGGCUCAGAUUGAACGCUAGCGGGAAUGCCUUACACAUGCAAGUCGAACGGCAGCACGGACUUCGGUCUGGUGGCGAGUGGCGAACGGGUGAGUAAUGUAUCGGAACGUGCCCAGUAGCGGGGGAUAACUACGCGAAAGCGUAGCUAAUACCGCAUACGCCCUACGGGGGAAAGCAGGGGAUCGCAAGACCUUGCACUAUUGGAGCGGCCGAUAUCGGAUUAGCUAGUUGGUGGGGUAACGGCUCACCAAGGCGACGAUCCGUAGCUGGUUUGAGAGGACGACCAGCCACACUGGGACUGAGACACGGCCCAGACUCCUACGUGGGAAGNGGCCAUGGCCAGUGGGGAAUUUUGGACAAUGGGGGAAACCCUGAUCCCAUCCGUGUGAUAGUUUUGUU